GUUGAGAGAGUAAACCCCUCCCACUCCUCGACGCAUCAGACAAACUUUACCUUCGCGGGCAUUUUGAUCCACCUCAUCUCGAAAAGUUGUUAUUCGGAGAAGAAAAGCGUGCAGAAUAACAGCUAAUAUUAAUGGAUCAUUCUAUUCAAGAGAAAGUCAACUGGAACGUGGAUGUUUUCAUAACAGGCUUAAAGAUGAACAAAUUGAUAAAGAAACCCUCCUGCUGAACAUCCACUUCCAAAAGUGCACACCACACUGUUAUCUACAACUCUCAGGAAAAGAAUCCUCUUUAGUAAGACUGCUCCGUGGAUAUGUCAGGUUAAGCAGUGCUGAAACCAAAAGAACUAACGCUCUUUAAAAUGUUUUGUGAGUUUAUAUGAAGAGGAAAGUUACGGUGUUCCUUUUUCACAUCCAUAACGCUUGUUUAUUUCUUUUUUUAUAGAAAACUUGUGCAUAGACUGAUAUUUUAUCAUAUAAAUGCGGUUCUAUCAACAAGGGUUUAGUAAAAUACUUUUUAUAGUGUUUUUAUGUCGCAUCCAUAACGCUGGAAUUGCCCUAAAGCAUUUUACUCGUGCCACUUUGUUAACUGUAUAUGAAUUUUUGAAGUGUUAAGUUGUCUAACUAUUUAUAUUUACUUGUGCCACUUUAAUAACCUUGUUAAAUGUAUAUGUUAAAAUCUAAACUAAUGUAAUUUAUUUAAGUUAAUUUUCCUUAAAUAUGUAUAAACAUACAUUUCAUCAAAGUGUUUUAUAUGCCAUUUUAUUGUUCAUUGAGCAUAACAUAUUGCAUGUUUUUAUGAAUUCCUUUUGUCUUGCAUUUUGAUCCUUAAUAAAACUUUUGAUUCUUACUGAUGCCUCGAGUAUUUCUCUGUGAUUUUGUUAUUAUUAUUUUUAAACAUUUCGGGUUUGUUUUAAACCAGCAAUGUAAUUUUUAAGCAAAAGUUGAUUUAAA